rnacentral:rRNA from 1 species
AUUGAACGCUGGCGGCAUGCCUUACACAUGCAAGUCGAACGGCAGCACGGGAGCAAUCCUGGUGGCGAGUGGCGAACGGGUGAGUAAUACAUCGGAACGUGCCCAAUCGUGGGGGAUAACGCAGCGAAAGCUGUGCUAAUACCGCAUACGAUCUACGGAUGAAAGCAGGGGACCGCAAGGCCUUGCGCGAAUGGAGCGGCCGAUGGCAGAUUAGGUAGUUGGUGGGGUAAAGGCUCACCAAGCCAACGAUCUGUAGCUGGUCUGAGAGGACGACCAGCCACACUGGAACUGAGACACGGCCCAGACUCCUACGGGAGGCAGCAGUGGGGAAUUUUGGACAAUGGGCGCAAGCCUGAUCCAGCCAUGCCGCGUGCAGGAUGAAGGCCUUCGGGUUGUAAACUGCUUUUGUACGGAACGAAACGGCCUUUUCUAAUAAAGAGGGCUAAUGACGGUACCGUAAGAAUAAGCACCGGCUAACUACGUG